AACGAAGCACUGUAAACGGAGAUUCGUCGAAGUUUACUUUGACUUAGUGGCGGACGGGUGAGUAAUGUAUGAGCAACCUGCCUUUCAGUGGGGGACAACAGUUGGAAACGACUGCUAAUACCGCAUGAUGUCAAUUGGGGGCAUCCCCGAAUGACCAAAGGAUUUAUUCGCUGAAAGAUGGGCUCAUAUCUGAUUAGCUAGUUGGUGAGGUAACGGCUCACCAAGGCUGCGAUCAGUAGCCGGACUGAGAGGUUGAACGGCCACAUUGGGACUGAGAUACGGCCCAGACUCCUACGGGAGGCAGCAGUGGGGAAUAUUGGGCAAUGGGCGAAAGCCUGACCCAGCAACGCCGCGUGAAGGAAGAAGGUCUUCGGAUUGUAAACUUCUUUUAUGAGGGACGAAGGACGUGACGGUACCUCAUGAAUAAGCCACGGCUAACUACGUGCCAGCAGCCGCGGUAAUACGUAGGUGGCAAGCGUUAUCCGGAUUUACUGGGUGUAAAGGGCGCGUAGGCGGGGAUGCAAGUCAGAUGUGAAAUCUAUGGGCUUAACCCAUAAACUGCAUUUGAAACUGUAUCUCUUGAGUGCUGGAGAGGUAGACGGAAUUCCUUGUGUAGCGGUGAA
rnacentral:rRNA from 1 species